rnacentral:rRNA from 1 species
CGUUGAUAGGCUGGGUGUGGAAGCGCAGUAAUGCGUUAAGCUAACCAGUACUAAUUGCUCGUGCGGCUUGACCCU